AUCAACGCUGGCGGCGUGCCUAACACAUGCAAGUCGAACGAGAAAGUGGAGCAAUCCAUGAGUAAAGUGGCGCACGGGUGAGUAAUACGUGGCUAAUCUACCCUUGAGUGGGGAUACACCUGCCGGAAAGGCUAGCUAAUUACCGCAUAAUACCUACGGGAUGCAUCAUUCAGGGGCAAUCUCCGCAGGGGCGCUUGAGGAGGAGCCUGAGUCCGAUCAUGCUAGUUGGUGGGGGUAAUGGCUCACCAAGCGAUGAUCGGUAUCCGGCCUGAGAGGGCAGCACGGCCACACUGGCACUGAAACACGGUCCAGACUCCUACGGGAGGCAGCAGUGGGGAAUCUUGCGCAAUGGGGGAAACCCUGAUGCAGCGAACGCCGCGUGAGCGAUGAAGUCCUUCGGGAUGUAAAGCUCUUUCGGCAGGAACGAUAUGACGGUACCGGAAGAAGAAGCUGCGGCUAACUACGUGCCAGCAGCCGCGGUAAUACGUAGGGGGCAGCAAGCGUUGUUCGGAAUUACUGGGCGUAAAGAGGUGCGUAGGCGGUUGCUCUAAGUUUGUGUGAAAUCUCCCGGCUCAACUUGUAGGUGCGCCGAGAAACUGGAGUGCUUGAGUAUGGGAGAGGGCAGCUGGAAUUCCUGGUGUAGCGGUGAAAUGCGUAGAUAUCAGGAGGAACACCUGUGGUGUAGACAGCUUGCUGGACCAUAACUGACGCUGAUGCACGAAAGCGUAGGGGAGCAAACAGGAUUAGAUACCCUGGUAGUCCACGCCCUAAACGAUGCAUGCUUGGUGUGACGGGUACCAAUUCAUUGGUUCGUGCCGUAGCUAACGCGUUAAGUAGUCCGCCUGGGGAGUACGGUCGCAAGGCUGAAACUCAAAGGAAUUGACGGGGGCCCGCACAAGCGGUGGAGCAUGUGGUUUAAUUCGACGCAACGCGAAGAACCUUACCUGGGCUCGAACUGGCUGCGACCGGGUUCUAGAAAUAUCGACUUUCCCGCAAGGGGACUGUAGUCUAGGUGCUGCAUGGCUGUCGUCAGCUCGUGUCGUGAGAUGUUGGGUUAAGUCCCGCAACGAGCGCAGCCCCUUAUCCUUAGUUGCUACCGAUAGGUGAGCACUCUCGACGAACCGCCUAGCGAUAAGGGGAGGAAGGUGGGGAUGACGUCAAGUCAUCAUGGCCUUUAUGUCCAGGGCUACACACGUGCUACAAUGGACGGUACAAACCGUCGCAAACCCGCGAGGGAGAGCUAAUCGGCAAAAAAGCCGUUCCUCAGUUCGGAUUACAGUCUGCAACUCGCCUGCUAUGAAGCUGGAAUCGCUAGUAAUGGCGGAUCAGAACUGACGCCGGUGAAUACGUUCCCGGGCCUUGUACACACCGCCCGUCACAUCACGAAAGUGGGAUUGUACUAGAAGUCGGUGCACGCCAACCCGCAAGGGGGUAGCGUCCCAAGGUAUGAUUCAUGAUUGGGGUG
rnacentral:rRNA from 1 species